rnacentral:snoRNA from 1 species
AAUCCGUGUUGUAGACAUUGAUAGAAUAAACCUUUGUGUCAUUCCCAAGCCUUUGAAUAGCAUUCUGAGUCUAGUUGUUGAAAAGUAGUAAUCUCAUCCCUUAGUUU